GACAGAGGUGCCAAGCGUUAGGCGGAAUCACUGGGCUUAAAGCGUGUGUAGGCGGACUUGUAAGUACCUUGUGAAAUCCCACGGCUCAACCGUGGAACUGCUUGGUAUACUGGUUCUCUUGAGCCACCUAGGGGCAACCGGAACAAACGGUGGAGCGGUGAAAUGCGUAGAUAUCGUUUGGAACGCCAAUGGUGAAAACAGGUUGCUGGGGGUGUGCUGACGCUGAGACACGAAAGCCAGGGGAGCAAACGGG
rnacentral:rRNA from 1 species